CACAGAGUUAGCCGGGGCUGAUUCGGGGGGUACCGUCAUUAUCGUCCCCCCCAAAAGGAGUUUACAACCCGAAGGCCGUCGUCCUCCACGCGGCGUUGCUCCCUCAGGCUUGCGCCCAUUGGGGAAAAUUCCUUG
rnacentral:rRNA from 1 species